GUCUACUGCCAUGCUAUGCUGAGCAAGCCUGAUCCCGUCUGAUCUGAGAAGCUAAGCAAGAUUGGGCCUGGUUAGUACCUGGAUAGGAGACCACCUAGGAAGAUCCGGUGCUAUAGGCC
rnacentral:rRNA from 1 species